UGGUUAUAACCGCACUUUCAAGGUCUGCUCAUAAGCUUUAAACAUGUGAUAUUGGCUGGACAAAUCAACCCUGUACAAUUUCUGAAUUGACUGCAAAUUUGUUUUCUUUGCAUAAAUAUUUUGGAGUCCACUGCUAUCCUGGUAGAGAAAGUCUCAAUGGAUAUGAGUUCAGGUUCAUAUGCAUCCGAGUGGGGCAAUCUGUUUUAACAUUUGGAGCAUGUAGCUUGCUGACUCAGUGCCAGGUGUGCAUGCCGAACUGCUCCUUCAGGAAGCCGUUUUGACCCGAGGCAAAUCGUCCCAAGUAUGCCUUCAAGACUUAGCACAAUAACAAGACAUUUGAAGCUUAUUUGAGGUGACACUCAUUUAUGGCUUUAUUUGUAACUGCUUAUCUUUUGCUUUGCCCAGGAUUUGAUGCAGGAAAAGAAAAUUUAAACUCUUCUAGCAGUUACUCAAUACGUUUGCACAGUGGGGCUCCUGUUUUCCGG
rnacentral:lncRNA from 1 species